rnacentral:sRNA from 1 species
AUGUGAACUGAUAAACAGAAACACAAUUAAAAAAAAAAGGCAAAAAAAA